rnacentral:rRNA from 1 species
ACUCAAAUGAAUAGACGGGGACCCGCACAAGCGGUGGAGCAUGUGGUUUAAUUCGAUGCAACGCGAAUAACCUUACCUGGCCUUGACAUGCCUGGAAGUCUGCAGAGAUGCGGAUGUGCCUUCGGGAACCAGGACACAGGUGCUGCAUGGCUGUCGUCAGCUCGUGUCGUGAGAUGUUGGGUUAAGUCCCGCAACGAGCGCAACCCUUGUCCUUAGUUGCCAUCAUUAAGUUGGGAACUCUAAGGAGACCGCCGGUGACAAACCGGAGGAAGGUGGGGAUGACGUCAAGUCAUCAUGGCCUUUAUGGCCAGGGCUACACACGUGCUACAAUGGCAGGUACAGAGGGAAGCCAAGCGGCAACGCGGAGCCAAUCCCAGAAAACCUGUCGUAGUCCGGAUUGGAGUCUGCAACUCGACUCCAUGAAGUUGGAAUCGCUAGUAAUCGCAGAUCAGCAUUGCUGCGGUGAAUACGUUCCCGGGUCUUGUACACACCGCCCGU